GAAAGUGUCGCCCCUGAUUAACCUGUGCGGACUGCACAGGCUAAUCUGGGACGACACUUAACGCACAUGCAUUUUGCCCAAUUUUCACAGAACAAGACACAUAUUAAUCAAAUGUAUUGUAUACAUGUAAUUCAAAUGUUAUCCCUCGUAUCCGGACAAUGAUACUAAUAUUUAAAAAGACGAACGAGAAAACGUAAAAUGUAUUGUCUAUACAUGAAACAACGACACGAUUUUGGCAAUAUUUGUUUAAGAAACUUGUAAAUUAAAACUUCAUUUUCGUAAACCGAGGUAUAUCUCAAUGUGAUAGCUUUGUCUCUAAACUAGAACGUUAUGUGGUCAAUAUAUACGACAUGACGCUAGUCGAUUAACCCAUUUAUGCCCAGCGUCCUGAAAAAAGGACAUUGCAAACAGCGUAGACCCAGAUGAUACGCCGCAUGAUGCGGCGUCUCAUCUGGGCCUGCGCUGUUUGCUUAAAUGAAUUUCUUUAUGAAAUAUUCUAAAUAUAGACAUAAAUAUACUUGACAGCCCUAAUUUUGGAAACAAAUUGAUCCAAUUUAGAAGGAUGGGAGAGUCCCCUGGGCAUAAAUGGGUUAACCCAGGAGCAUGUACCAGUUUAGUGACAUGCGUUAUCAGAUUAAUAUGCAACGGGGCACAAUUCAGUAUAUAAUUGCACUCAUAACAAUUAAAACCAAAACUUUCGUUGGAGCGUUGAUUCAAUAAAUGACCGUUACAUCAAAUAA